GGGGAUCUUUAAAAAUUAGGACUUUUCUCAUAAAUACCCAAGUUUAAAUGAUUUUUUGCAAAAUUACUUUCAUUUUUUAAAGCAAAUUGCAAAAAUACUAUACUUCAAAAUAUAUUUGCAAAAAUACAGUGGUUCAUAUCUGCAACUCUAGCAACCAUAUAUGCAAUCACAAAUGCAACUUUGAAAAAUCUUUUGAAAAUUACUUUUAGUUGCAUAAUAAGUUGCAAGUGGUUGCAAAUCAUGAAAAUCACUGUCCUGCGGGGCCAGUAUUUGUAUCACAAAAGCAACCGUAUAAUCAACUAAAAACAACCACAAAAUCAACUAAAAGCAAAAGUCUUUUGCUGAGAAGAGGAUAAAUCGUAAGCCAGCAUUUUCUACUACAACAUCAAAUGGAUUCGUCAUUCUCGUCGUCGAUCUGGCGAGUGAAUACUGAAAGCGUAGUUUUUGGUCGAGGAUGAUCGGAGUGCAGAGGAUUAGAACAAUUAGAGUUGAUGGUGGUAUGAGAAGUGAAGGCGGGGGGUGUGUGUGGUUCAUGAUUGAGACACAAUAAGGCGGUGUUGUAGGAAUAGGUGACGAUCAGGGAGCAGCUGGCUAUGUUUACCGGUGGUCAAGAGGGAGAAGAAGAGAGAGAGAGAGAAACGCAUAGUUGGAGGGAGUCGGCGAAAUAGUAGUAAAACUUCUCUCCUCGAUUAUGAAAAUAUGUACCGUAUUUCUGCAAUUGUCUGAUUUAGGUCUUUAACAAAACAGUAUUUAUGCAAUAAAAAUAGACUAACAGUAUAUUUGCAAUUAAUAUGUUAAAAUGAGGUAUUUUUGUUAAAUUCCCUAAAAAUUAAUACAUGUUCUUUGUUCAAAAAAGAAUUGAGAAUACUUGUAUUAAUAUUAAUGUGAUUAGUUAAAGAAAAUUUACUGUUUUUUUGUCUCAUUUUGUUUUUAAAACACAUAUCAAUAUGUAAUAUAUUAUAAUUUUUAUAUGACAAAUAGAUACAAUUUUACAUCAAAUAAAAAUUAGAUUUGAAUUUUUAUUGAUAUAAAACAGAUAUUAUAAAACAAACAUAUUUUUCUACAAAUCGUUUUGACACUUAAAUAUAUAGAAAACUGAAAGUAGGUUAUUGUCAAGUAAGUAUGUUGAUGUUACAUUUUGAAUUUUCAAACCAAAAUCAUCCGCAGUAGCACUGUCAAACUAUAUUCUAAGCCUUAGACAACACUGUUGUCAAAACAAUCAGCGGGAGAUCGGUUCUCCGGGUUCCCGGCUAGUAAAAAUUCUAAUUUGUAAACAUGUCACUUUAUGUGGGCUCUUUACAGUCCACAACUCCGGUUACAUUUAGUCAUUUACAUAUCAAUUUUUUUUUAUCAGAGAUUACUUAAUCUAAACAAGCGAUCAAUGCACGAAACCAAGAGGCUCUCUCUCAAAUCAGCAAGAUAAAGUGUUCGGAUGGCAGCAAAAAUGUUGAGAAACAUUUUCAUGAAAAAAAAUAUUUCAAAAUACUCAUGAAAAAAAUUAAAAUUGUGGGGUUGUAAAGUGAAAAACCCAUAUAUAUUAACUUUAACGUUCAAUUAAACGGAAAAUGGUCAAAUGGGUGCAAAGCGAAGCGCUUUUCAAACUUUAGGGUGCAUACUGCCAAAAAAAAUUAUUUGAGACCAAAUCGAAAAAGCGCCUAAACAUAAUGGGUGCAAAGUAUCAAUCACUCUUAUUUUUAUUAUUAUAUUUUUAAUAACUCAAAAUCCAAACAAACAUUUUAAACUCCUAACUUAUCACAUUAAGUUAUAAAUCACGUUAAAUUAGGACUGUAAACGGAUAGGAUUUGGAUCGGAUCUACCUAAAUCCAUAUCCUAAUCCAUUUAAUGUCGGUCUCGAAUCGGAUCGGAUCAGGAGUCGGAUAUUUUACAAGUCAAUCCAUAUCCGGUCCAUUCGGAUCGCGGAUAAUCGGAUCGGAGAUCAGAUCCACUAAAAAUUUUUUUAAAAAAAAAUUUUGCACCAUGGGCAAUGUAAUAACCCUCCAUAAAGAAAAAAAAAAGUGAUAUUUCCUAACUAAAUUAAUUCAUGAAUUUAAGUUAACAAACAUAAAAAGGAACUAAUAAAGCAGUAAAAUAAAUUUUGUAACUGAAAAAUUUAGUUGGCCGUUCAUGUAAAACCUUCAACAUAAAAUGUAUCCAGUGAAUAGAAAAAUAAUAAGUAAGUUGUUUGAUAAUUCUGAAGGAAGAAAAUCGAUUAGCCCGACUUUCCCAAAUGCCUACUAUGGUCAGCUCCUCUGUUUAUAAGGAUUUAGAACUCAGGAGUAGCUGUACAAUUAUAAGAAAAUAUGAUUUAGAAUUUUAUCUUGUAUUUUUAGAAAAUUUUAUUUCAUAUGUAAUAUAUUAAUAUAAUAUAUUAUAAUACAAUAUAAUAUAAAUAUAUAAUAAUGCUAAGCGUGGAUCGGAUCGGAUCGUUAACAGAUCGGAUUUGAUCAUAUCCAUAUCCAUUCUUUAUCAGAUCGGAUUAUUAUCGGAUUAGAUUUGUUUAAUAAAUAUCCAUAUCCUUUUAUUUAACCACGGAUCAGAUAUCCAAUCCAUUUAUAGGCCUACGUUAAAUUAUAAGUUCAGUCAAAAUGGCUCAUUAAUCUUAGAUGACGGUGAACAUGGACAGUAUUAUACAAUUUGAUUAGAUCCCGCUUGGCUGAAAUUAUGACUUAACUUCACUUAUAAUUUAUUGUGAUUUAUGAUAAGAGUUUAAAAUGUUUUUUUUGAAUAAUUUUGACUUAUCUUAUGAGUUAUUAAAAAUAUAAUAAUAAUAACAAUAAAAGUGAUUUAUGUAUAAUUUUAAUUAAUGGUUGAUUUUUAUGAAAAAUGUUAAGUCACCGCAAAAAAUAUCUCAAACUAACUUCUGGUUUUAAGUUUUUUGGCUUGUUUCUGACUUCAAAUGACUUAUUACAUAAUUAGACAUUUGUCAGUUUAAAAUUAAAAAUAUUUUAAAACUCAGAUUUUAACAUAAGGAAAAUAAGUUGCCAGAUUUUAUUUCUUUGAUAUGCAUCUUGAGGGAUUUCAUUGAGAAGUUUGAGCGGGGCAAAGUACAUCAAAGUUGUGAGGUACAGGUUCAACAAUUCACUUAUCUAUGUUAAAUUGUACAGUAACAAACAGAAAUAGGAAUAAUUUUAAUACAGUAUAGGAAUAAUAUAUAAUAGUAAUUUAUAAUCAUAAGAAAAUUAAUAUUUAGAAAAUUCUAACCGAGGUAGAUAUUUUGACGUUUAAUUCUUGGUAGACUUCAAUGUAUGUUAGGACUCUGUAACAACAGAUUGUUUUUGCAUAACACCUUAUUAUUGUACUAAUAAUAAUAUUUCCUAUAGAACUAAAUUAGUACAUAUAAAGCACCAAACUAUAAUUACCCUCAAGAACAAUAGCAAGCUAGCGUUUGAAGUAUGUGUCUGAUUGUCGGCUUUCUUUUGCGAAACUUGUCUUCAGUUCUAUAUGUAUUAGGUUUAUCUAUGAGUCAGCUAUUUUCUCAGGGGCUCUUAUGUUUUGCCCUAACCAUAUUAUAGUUUAGGUUCAGGGUAGGCUUAUGCCUUUUGUUUGUCGAUUCUGCGUUACUCUUUCCUCUGUGUAAGAUUUUCCGAGAAUAUACUUCCCUAUAUAUAUAUAUAUAUAUAUAGAGUCAUACUCCAAUAGAAACCAAAUUAGCCUAAAAACUAAAAAUCAGUUUCUGGACAGUUUUUUAUCACUAUUUUUAACUACAGAAAUCACUAAUUUGUACAUAACAUAUCACUAAUUUAUAUAUAGCAUAUCUCGCGCAUAUAAAUAUAUUUAUACACAUAUAUGCAACGUAUAAGACCAUAAUCUUCACCCAAAUCGUAAUAAUAGACAUCUUACCACCAUUAUCAAACGUUUCUAUGACUUUCCACCAUUGUCUAUCAUCACCAAUAGUCACAUACACUUUCCAUCAUAACUUACAAAACUAACGACUACUUACCAUCAUCAUACAACUUCUCUUGCGGCUUCCUAACCACCAAGAACCUUCCUACGGAUGAAAUUAAUCAUCUAUAACCGAUAAUCAAUAAUUUAGAUAAGUAGAUUUUCUCAAUUUUGAUAAUAAAAAUCGCUGUUUACAUAUUGUAUAAAAACAGUGAUUAGUGGAGUAUAAAUUAGUGAUACCCGUAGUUAUAAAUAGUGGUAGGGAAAUUGGUUUCUAGUUUUUAUUUUAAGAGCUUGCUUAUAAAAAAAAAACACACAUUAGCUUUGCUAAUAAAAAUUUGGAUUUAUAGAAUAUAUAUUAAGAGGAGGAACAAGAAUUAACUGCUUACCACAUGUAGUCAUAGUAUGAGUUUGUAGUUGAAAUAAAGAUUAAAUUUAACUUCAUAGAGAUAUAAUGAUUAUAAUUAUUUUUCUGAUCAUGUAUUUCAUCUUUUUGUGUGUGUGAACGUGAUAAAUAAUAAAUUAUAAAUAAUAGUUACCGAUUAAAGCUCAAAAUAGACUAUUUCAUAUUAGUUGCCUUCGACUUUGAAUUUUUACAGUUUUUAGAUUUGGAUUGAGAUUUUAUAAGGGUAAUAUUGAUAGGAUAAUUGAGACAAACCAAGUCGGACCGGUUACGACCCGGUCGUAGGAAAUGAUAUACACUAAAGUUCUAAAGUUCAGUAGAUAAAUUACGAGGUUAGUAACUUUGGGGUCCACAUUUAAGCUGGAUUCAUGGAGUAUCAAUCUUAAUCGUUAAAUUUAAUUAUAAAUAAUAUCUUUGAUUAUCAAAAUUUGUGUAGAAUUCAAUGUUUAUAAAUAAUCUUAAACAUCGUCAUCAAUUAAUAAUUAACAUCCUUCAACUUUAAUAAAUAUUAAGAUCAAUGUUUUUCUUAUUAGUUAUAUUAGUAGAAUAUACGUCCUAUGAUUUGGAAAUUAAUGGUUUUUCAUGUUGAUUACAUUGUAUAAUACAAUUUUUAGGUUGUCGGAUGUUCUAAAAUAUUGUAGAGCAAAAAAAAUUAGAAUCGAAACUACUAGAUUAUAUUUUAUUCAAUUUUGAAAAAUAUGAAAUACAAGACUCUACUUUAUGAUGGAAUUCAAUAUAACUUUAAUAAUAUAACAUAUUAAAUAUUAAUCUGCUUACCUGUAUUUGGUUGAGCACUAAUGAUACUUAUUUCAGAUUUCCCCAAAUAUCUAAGAAGAUAUCACGAGGAUAUUAUAGAAUUAAAGACUGCCUUGGAUUUAUAUAAUGUAGUGGUAGUUUCACAUGUAAACGUACAUCCUAUAUAUUGUCCUCGGAGUUUCAGAUGUAUAAAUAUACAUACAUUAGUCUUCUGUUUACAUUACCAAAUUUAAUAUAAUUAUCUCUCAUCCUUAAAGCUCACAUCUCAUACUAAAACUUCAUUAUACCUCAAUCAGUUUUAUAAUUUAUUUUCAUGAGUUAUGAAUGAUAUAAGCUAUUACUCAUUUAUUAAUUUGAUAUGUGAUGUAUCUGCAAAGAAGAGAAGAAAAAUAUUUACACCAAGUUCAGAGGAUCCUCGUAUAUAUUUUGCGAGGUAAUUGAUACAAAAUGAUCUAAUUUUUUACGUUAAAAGAACAUAUCAGUUGGCAUUAAUUUUAAUUUUAAUUUUAAUAAGUGAAUAUAUUAACUACUGCUACAUUCAGAUAUCUUACUAAAAUUAAUGAUAGUCAACAAAUGGAGUGUAUAAUUGACAUUGUUUAACCUGUUGAAAUGCAGGAGCCAUGGAUUCAGUUAAGCAAUUGUAGUAACAAUUGCAACAAAAAUUGAAUUCAUUUCAUCUUUUUAUUUUCAGGUCAUUUUCUUUAUCUCUUUUUAUAUGUCACAUGAGAGUUGAACACUGAUCUAAGCUAAAUUUGAUAAACACCACAUAUGUCUGAAUAUUUAUAACUCAAUUAUUGUUUCUUAUCAUAAUGUUUAGGAUUAAGUGGUUUAUUGCAGGAAUUUUGUAGAGAAAUAAAGAAAGAGAAAAAUAAUGGGGAAA
rnacentral:lncRNA from 1 species